GACAGAGGGUGCAAACGUUGUUCGGAAUUACUGGGCGUAAAGCGCGUGUAGGCGGCUAAGUAAGUCGGGCGUGAAAUCCCACGGCUCAACCGUGGAAGUGCACUCGAAACUGCAUAGCUAGAGUCCUGGAGAGGAAGGUGGAAUGCUUGGUGUAGAGGUGAAAUUCGUAGAUAUCAAGCGGAAACACCGGGUGGCGAAGGGCGGCCU
rnacentral:rRNA from 1 species